rnacentral:rRNA from 1 species
GACGAACGCUGGCGGCGCGCUUAACACAUGCAAGUCGAGCGAAUCGGCGGACGGGAGAGUAACACGCGAGUAACCUGCCUUAGCCAUUGGGAUAGCCUCGGGCAACCGGGAUUAAUACCAAAUGGUCUAAGAUGGACUCGCUUCCCAUUAGCUGGUUGGUGAGGUACCGGCCCACCAAGGCGACGAUGGGUAGCCGGCCUGAGAGGGUGAACGGCCACAGUGGAACUGAGAAACGGUCCAAACUCUACGGGAGGCAGCAGUGGGGAAUAUUGCACAAUGGAGGUAACUCUGAUGCAGCGAGGCCGCGUGAACGAAGAAGGCUUUCGAGUCGUAAAGUUCUUUUAUAUGGGAAGCGGUAUCUAACCAGAAAGCCACGGCUAACUACGUGCCAGCAGCCGCGGUAAUAC